ACACAUAUUAGGCCUGAAUAAGACUUUAGAAUUUGAAGUGGUGGUGACGAUGCCGAUAUCCAAGAUGGCGGAAUUAUACCAGUGGUCAAAUCUCAUCUAUUUUGGGUAAUUGCAUCAUUAUUUCUUUUUGUGAUUGGUGAUUUGUAAAAUUGAGAAUGAUUGAAAAAUCAGUAUUUUUUCACCCAAAGGCAUGAGUGAACAUUUGAUAAGUUUAUUGUGAUUUAAUUGGUAAUUUGGUCGACAUUUUGACAAUUAUAUUUAGCAAUAUUUCGAUAAAUGCGGACCUGCUUCUUCCUCUUUUCGUAGUGACGGUGUUUCGAUAACUCAGUUAGACUUCGAGAUCUACAUUUUCGACAAAGGCCUGGUGUAAUAUUACGUACUUGAUGAAGGUUUAAUGACACGAAUGAGUACAAGUACAUUACAUUUUUCGACGAAGGCCUUCUGUAAUUUCAUACGCUUCUUACGCAACAUUCAAUAGAUUUAUUUACUGUAUUAUCAUUUCGACCAAGGCGAAUUCGACACUUCAAUUACACAAGGUUAGUAACUUUUGUUCACAAAAUCCAAAUGGAGGCAAAUACAGAACAAUCAAACUUAGUCAUUCCAGUCAGUUACUGAAGCACAGUGAAAACUGUCGGGAGCAGUGCAACUGAUGGCAUGUCAAACUUCCAGUGACUGUCCCUGUCCAUAUAUUUCAAGACAGUACAAAUCUUGUAAUCAUUUUGUUUAUGCAAUGUACGUUAUUAUGUAUCAUUUCAGCACAAUCAAACUUAGUCAUUCCAGUCAGUUACUGAAGCACAGCGAAAACUGUCUGAAUUAGUGCUGCUGAUGGCAUGUAAUUACUCUACUACCACUACCAGUGACAGUCAAUGUCCAUAUAUUUUCAAGUGUGCGAAAUUAGUACUCGUCUACUUCUUAGUGUUAUUUGAAUGCAAUGUAUGUUAUAAAAAUAUUUGUUCAACACUAUAUCAACAUUCUCAUUCCUGUCAGUUUCUGAAAAUCAGCUAAAGCAAUCGCUACCAAUGCAGCUGAUAACAGCAAUUCUUUUUGUUCCCAAUGCCCAUCCAUGACAAUAUAUUUCACGCAUGUGACAAUCAUGUAAUCAUCCUGUUUUUUGUGUUCUAUUCAUGCAAUAAAUAAAUUCAGUAUUUUCAAAUCAUUGGUGCUACAAAACUAUUCUCAUUAUAGAUUAUUCAUAUUUUAUAAAAUGCUGUCAUGUCAAAUUUUGUGUCCUAUAAAUCAUUAUGAAGUCGGCAUUUUAUAUACAACUUUUGUACUCCUCCUAAAUAAACAUACAAAUCUUGUUUUAUGUAAACUUUGUAUAUGUGACCCGUCACAGCAAAACCAGGCGCAUGUCGCUCUGAGCUUGGCAGGUUGAGACGGACUGUUUGUUCAUUUAUCUAGUGUCUGCCUUUUGUAAAAUAUGAGCACAUCAAUUUCUUCCAUUAUCUCCUGGUGUCAUUUAGGCUCAUCUUCUGUGCGACAUGUACCUGGUUUUGCUGUGACGGGUCACAUAUUCUAUAGAUAUACAACACUCUAAUGUCACAAUGCCUCUCUCACUCGCUUUUAUAUAGCAAGAUGUAUGAAUAAACAUGACACACCAACUAUGUACAAAAUUGCUAACAAACUGCACCAUUUGUCAGUACACCACAUGAAAUACAGAGAUAUGUCUUAAUUCUAAUCUUUCAUUAGCGACACCAUUUCUUACCCGAGUGCCUCCUUCAUUCAUACAUCUUGUACUUUAACUCAAGAUACCCAUCUUUGAAUAUUUUUAGUAUACCAAGUACUACAAUGUCAAUGUAUUGAAGUCAUGUUCUUGUAGUGUUAUUGGCUUUCUAUUAUCUUGUCAAAAUACCACUUGGUUCUCGCAAAAUCUCAAUAAAAACAAAUGCUAUUGCAUGUAUUGCAUAUUCUAACAGCUAUCCACUGUAUCGAUUUAUCCAUCAUCUGUACUAUUUGUCACAAAAAUGUUAUAUUAUGUAAAUCAUAUUUCAUUACAUAAUGCACACUGCCAAUUACUGCUGAACCAUUCAUAUGUCAUUUAAAUAAAUAAUUUUCAACUUUUUAAAACCGUCUUAUAGUACUGUUCUUGUCACUUAGCUGAACCAAUUGCUCUAUAGCAUGAAAUUUCCAGAAAUGCCCCAGGGACUGAAAAGUGCUGUUUUAACAGAGAGGUGUCCUAAACUGAGAAGUCGAGUUGAAUGGAAACAACCAAUUUGGAACCAAAAACUACUGUCCUUAUUAAAGAGGUUGUCCUCAAUAGAAAGGUGUCCACAAAAAGUAGGUCCACUGUAUAUGAAAGUACAAACCCUGGUACAUGUAGUGACAUCAUCUACUCCUCGAUGUGGACACCUGCAAAUGCAGCGACAAUGUCACAUCAGUUAUUUAAUUCAUCGUCCUUUGUGCAGAUGGCACCACCCAUCAAGCAUGUUGGUGACGAAUAGUGUCGCAGCAUUUCGUCACCGAGCUUACACGAAAAUGCACUGUCAUUCAUUCAGCCAUAAGUGUAAGACUGUAGGGUUGUUUCCAACCAAAACAUGUUCGAAAUGUGUCAAGCAUUCGGAACACCCAAAGACUGAUUAGAGAAGUCAA